AGGCGCGUAGCUCAGUUGGUUAGAGCGCUUGGUCGACAUCCAAGAGGUCAGCAGUUCGAGUCUGCUCGUGCCUACCA
rnacentral:tRNA from 1 species